AACGGCUCGUUAUCUCCUCCGUAAUUUUCAACGAAGUAAGAAUCAAUUGAACACACAUCGGGUACACCGUUCGUAGCUCGUCGUUCGGUUAAGGCGAACCAGGUUGCGCUCGUCGGCGUCGAUGCGAGAAACUGGACGUCCUCGAGGAGGAGUUGCCCGCACACGGUCUGAGCCAAUGAUCGGUGUUUAUAUCCAAGCCUAUCUCACUUUCCGUCUCUUAAUUCAUCGGAAUCAACAUCGGAGUCUACCGGGUUAUUCGAUCCAUACCGGUUCCAAAAGGUUUCAAAACUGCAUAAGGGAAAUCUAUUAUGGAACUUCAAGACCGGAAAUAUCGGGUUCGACCGAAGCGGAAGGGGUACGGGAAAAUACUGAGCCAAGGGUCAUAAGGUCACGGAAUUCAAACGACCGCCACAUGCGCUGUACCUUCACCCCAAUUAUCAUUUCCACGUUAUCGAGCUUCCAUGUAGUGAGUCAACGAAUUGACCUCCGCAGUGCGUAUUAUUCAAACGAUGUAAUUUACCGAUUUCAUGUGAAAUGGAAAAACCAUAUACAUAUACGCGAAGAACUAUGAAUAAUCGUCGCUUUGCAUUUUUAUUGGCGAGCCAACGCAUCUCAACGAAACGUGAGUGAAUUGCGAAAAAUUGUUCUCCAUUCGAUUAUACAUUUUAUCAACUGCAACGACAUGAAAUCAAAAUAAAAAGAACAAGAGGUGUGCGAGAACCUAAUCAGAAAAACUGUAUAUACGCAAAUCGGCGGAUUGGAGCGAAUUAAAUCUACUUUCAAAGGGCCACGGAUACUGGUAGAAAAAGUGACAAACUACUCCGUCGCGUCGGGAUGAAUAAAAAAUGGAAAAACAACGCCUCGGGUUUCGGUCUAGAUGCAGUCUGAGGUGCACAUCCGUACGUGUGUAUUGCAGCGUGGUGCACCGGUACGGUCGCAAAUGUACCGACAUUGCGAAAGGCGUUCGCGAAGAAGAAUCCAGCGAAAACAUCGUGUGUGUAUAUAUUAGAUAUGUGUAUCAUCGUAUAUUAUUAUUGUUAGUACGCAAGUGGAUAAGUGAAUAUAUGCAGAUGAAUAUGCAGCGCGGGCAUGCGAGGCACAGUUAUUCGUGAGCACAGCUCAUUUUUGCUCACAUCGACUGACUUGGUCCGUAACGAAGUAGCCAACGAGUUAGAGGCCUCGAAGAUAAUUAAGAUAAUUGCUUUCCAUAUUGGACUAUGUCGGGCGUGCAGCUAUACGCUUGCUCGGAACACAUCUGUCCAUGUUCAAUAUCGUUUGCACGCUCUUCGUCUGCCGCUAGAUUUCACCUUUCUACCAAGGGCACUUCAAAUAAUCGCCUCGCUUUCAACCCGAGUCCAUAGGAUAUCUAUAGCACAUAUGCUCUGCAGAUCGAGCCUUCGAUUUUUCACACCUGUAUAAUAGUUGGCGCACUACAUGUGCCGAUUUACGUCGAUAUAUGUUAUCGUGGUUGUUUAUUUGUCGAUUUUUUUUUCUAAUUUUUAUUUUCAUCAUCUCUAUAAUGCUGAUUAUUUUAGGGAAUAUUUAGGGAAAUUAAUCGGAGACAAAUGUCGAUGAAUUCUCUCAAAAUUACAUCUGCGCAUCGUCAACAGAUCACCCUGAGAUUAAUUGAGAACUCGGGUUAAGAAUUCGAAGUGAGGUGUGCACGAUAUUUUGUUUCCUUGUACGAAGGCACGAAGUCUACAUCCAGGUAUCGACUAAAACAAACCGUGCGAAAAUUAUUAACGUACAGUGCAUGAAAAAAUGAGUGAAAAUAAAAAAAAAAAAAUGGCGAUCAUUCGAAAUGUAACGGUAUGGGUAUGGCGUGUAUUCCGUCUCCGAUAUAUUGGGAGGGCAAACGUGGUUGUGGCGGUUUUUUAAUCUGAGCUAUAACCGCGAGGAUUCGUGUCGGGGCUUUCUCGGUUGUUGCUUUUACAUUUUGACAAGUUGUUUCACUAAUUGCUUAUGACAGACGUAUUCAAAAGUAACAACACACAUAUCCGAGUCAUGUGUGUUCGUGGAAUGUAGUUCUUUCGACGAGAUUAUACGUUUUAAACCAACCGGGUUCUAACGCACGUGAGAGAAUUUAAUGUGUUACGUAAGUCGAAUAUUCAGAUUCGAGAUUUGACGAUGAACCAAAGACAAGUUUGUCCCGGUAAACUAAAUUUGGAACUAUGUAUAUUACACGGGUAUACGGAGGCGCGUUAUCUGCGAAAAAAGGUAUAUAAUAUUCUCCGAAGUAGAAAUGACCGACACAGCGUACGUGAACAAUUUGAACGACAGUGGCCACUUGGGAGCGGAAAUUUUAACGCGGUAUAACCAGAUAAAUCGAGAGUAAAAAAUAAAAUUCUCGGAAUAUCGCGUAAGCAACUUACAGGGCGGUCUGCGGAUGAUUACGAAACUCAGCAGGAUAAAUUCGGUGGAAUCAGAACCGCGUUAGCCGAGGGAUCCGAGAAUCUUCGGAAACGAGCCGGACUAAGGAUUCGCGGCCCAAAUCCGCUCGCACCUUUCACCACGCCCAGGAGGCUCCUUCUGUUUCUCUUCCACGGAAUCCCAUUUCGCGUUGAAACGAGAAAAGUGUGAUCCGCAUGAUAAAAAGGCUCAUCGUGUCGUCUUGCGUAAGCGAAUCACCAUGGCCAUAUAAUAACUAUAUCGAUUACUUUGUACGGUAAGGAUUGGUCGGGUGACGGCUGCGGUAUUAUCAACGAGCUUUCAAUCCCGACGUGAAUUGAUCAUUUAUUUCAGGGAUUUGAUCAAAUCUCAAUUUUCGUCAUUUCUUCGCGACAUCGACGCUGCAUCGCGACAGCAAUUUGGAACAAUCUUAUAAAACACAACCUCUGGAUCGAGGAUAUUUGAUAGUCAGUUAGGUUAAUUUUCAAAAAUAUAUGAAACACGAGAGUGGUUUACUUGCGACAAAAUUUCAUAAUUUCAUUUUAAUCCGAAAAGCGUCGCUGGGUUUCGAGCGUACUUGAGGGGAUCGGUAAUAACUAUAAAGACCGGAUAAAUAUCGGGGAUUCGAAGGUGUCCUUUGGCGUCCCGCCGCAUUAAAGAGCUGGUUAUACUAAUGGCCCGGUGGUUAGCAGUUACAGCGUUUAUAAUCCACCUCUCAACAGCAGUACUUCUUCAGGUUUAAUUGAAAGGCCGAUUCGGAUUUCACGAUGCGAUCGGCGAAUCGUAUGUUAUAUGUAGCUGAAACUGCAAACCGCGAUAUCGUGCAAAAAAAAAUCAGCGAAAAGUCGAGUCAAAAUCACCCACGUAAGCGCGGGUAAAAGUUGGCGUACUAUACCCCGAGAAUGUUAAUUGACGGAAUUUUGUAUCGUCCGUAGAGCGGGUGGUCGUUUGUACCGUCGUUUCCGCGUUUACCGGGGGACGGUGCGAGCCUUGCUUUCGACAAUGACCCAGAUCCUCGGAGGAACCUGGCCACUCAUAAAGAUCAGGUGCAAGAACGUGCCCGUCAACGCGAUCCGUCGCAACAACGUCCGUACCGUCGUUCGACCGGUCGCCGGUCGUCGGCUAGGUACGUCAACUUUGAAACCCGCAACGACCGUACGUCUGUCAGCUCUCUCCUUCGGUCGGAUCCCAUUGACUCUCACCCGUUCUCUCGGAACGAUCGCGAUUCGCUAUCGCGUGUGUACAGAGGCAGUCCGACCGGGCCGUUGGGGUACGAGACGAUUCGUCGCCAACGUGCGGCCGUGUAGCGCUGUGAUGCAAGCCGAUAUAUAAAGCAGGAAAAGCAUUGGAGAUAAAUGGUUGAUGAAUUACCAGAUUCAUGACAGCUGCAAUGGCUGGUAAAGCAAGAGUCUUGUAGCUGGUGGAAUCUACCUCAUGGCCAAACAGUGAGGUGCUGGUAAUCAUUGACAUGCGGUAAAGGACUACAGCAAAAACCGCGGCCACCGCAGUACAUGUCAAUAAAAGAACCACUGAGAAACUAAAUAAUGUUGCUGGAACUCGGACCUUCCAGAAACUGACGUAAGGCUCGCGUAGCCGCGUUACUGUAUUCACCUAUUCAACAGAAUCGUAUCUAUAAAAAUUUAGGAAAUUAACGGCGCUUUCUCAGAAGACCUAGUAGAUCAAUAACCGAAUUAUGCAACAUGGUAUGAGAAUGCAUUUAACAUGUUACAUACCUUUUGCUUAAUGUUAAAAAAGGUAGCUUUAGCAAGAAGCGCCAGAUAUCCUGGCCGAGGAUGUUCUGCAGUUUGGUCCCACUCAAUCAAACCCCAUCGAUGACUUAAUUCUGCAGACCGUCGUUUCCACAAUUCAAGAUACAACGUUGCCCAAAAUGACAUGAAAACGGCGAAUAUUGGAGUUGCCGGGUUAUCAAACAGGUACCCUAAAUAAAUGGAAGACAAAAGUUACAAGGUCAUAAUCAGGAACUUUGAUUAUCUCAAUAAGUUCUUCCUACUUACAUCGUGUAACGGGUAAGCUGCUGCAUAAACUCCAUCAUUCAGCAGAGUAUGAAUAC